UGAAGUAUGGUGGAAAAGAGAUAAAUGGAAAAACUAGAAUAACAUAAAAAAACAAACCUAAGGGUUCAAUUGUAAUUUCAUAGAAUAAAGAGGACAGUUUUGUUCUGAGCUGGAGAAGAGAAAAAGAAGAAGAACAGGAACGGAACAGAGUUCCAUAGCUUCAAAGUCUUACAUGCCAAAAUGAUCGAAAUGCGGAGAUUUUGUGGGAAUUUUCCAGAUGAGCUUUUGGAGGAAAUUAUGUCGUGGUUGCCUCCUGAUUCUCUCAGACGAUUCAAGUGCGUUUGUAAAUCAUGGCGUGUUCUGAUCACUUCUCUUAUCAGAAACCCUGAAUUUGUGGCCAAACACCUUGCUAAUAUGAAGAACAAGAAGUUGUGUUCUCCGUUCAUACACCUGAGGAAUGUGAUAACCACUAAUUACACUGAAAGGCAAGAAGGAACUUAUUUCCUUACAUUGGCCAAUGAUGAUGUCGAAGAUGAUUACACCGAUGAUCUGGACGAUAAUUUGUACAUUCCUUGUGUUACUGAAAAUCUCAAGUUUCUUACCUGUGAUCUGCACAAUAUUUUUGUUAAACUUGUUGCUCAUUGUAAUGGCAUCAUAUGUCUCUCUGCAUUCGAUAAAAAUGAUAUCUUUAUUUUAUUGAAUCCUGCCAUGAAGGAAUUCAAGAUUGUUGCUAAUGCUUCCCCUGGUGAUGGCUCAGGAGAGCGAGUAGUGGGAUUCGGCUAUGAUUCAAACACAAAUGAGUACAAGCUUGUCAACAUUAAGUCGUUGUAUGAAGAUGAAGAUGGUCCAUAUAAAGCUGAGAAAAUGUCUCAGAGACAGAAAAAGAAUGGGAUAUACUUGCUGAAUGGACAAAGAUUGCGGUUUGGAAAGAUCGUCUUGUUCUGUUUUUCUAUCCUGAGUUGGAUCCGAUGGUUAUUGAUAUGUGGGUUAUGGAUGCUUCUUCUGGUGGUAUUUGUGAUUCCUAUUCCUGGUCUAAGCAUCUUACUAUUGGGCCUCUUGAAAACAUUAGUUACCCACUUGCAUUUUGGGAUGCGGAUGAGCUCUUCAUGGAGACUAAAGAUGGUGAAAUCAUCUUCUACAACCUUGGCAGCCAAGAACUCAACGAUCAUACUGUCUCUUUGGAACCUUUUCACCGGAAUCGUCUUGUUACUUAUGCAAAGAGUUUGGUUUCUGUAGUCCAAAGAGAGGAGAGGUAACUAAAAAAGCGUACGGAACAGUAAUACUUUCAUUUAUUUUUUUAAUAAUAUUUAUGUUACUUUCCCCUUUCAUGCUCUAUUGUAUUGUGUUACACUGUUACUAAUAUCUGUUAAUAUUAUAGGCUGCCGUGCACCUUAAUUUUGUGUUUAUAUGUACUUUACUUUAGAGGGGUUAAUGUGUUUCUCUUAGGUAUGUUGUAUUGAAAGGCAAUACAAGUAGUUUAGCUUUGAGCAUUCUUAACAAAAGAACUUCGAUAUUGCCUUUCGCACACCACUCUCCUAUUAUAGAACACAAAUAUGCUAUCUAAACGUUUCAGAUUAUUCCAUGUUUUAAAUGCAUUAUAUUCUAAACAAAUCAGAAUUACACAUACAUACAUCGACGAUGAGCUCAUCUUCUAUAACAUUCGCAUCCAACUAGCCGAUGGUCAUAUCAUCUCCUUGGAACCGUCCCAUGGGGAUCAUCUUGUUACUCAUGCAAAGAGUUUGGUUUUUGCACUCAAAAGAGAAGAGACAUAACUAGCUAAGAGCAUUGAACAUUUAUUAGUUAAUUCAUUUUUCAUUUUAAUAUCAGACUAUACGUAUCUCAUUUCAAGGGUUAGUAUAUUAUAGCUUGUCCUUUUGUAUAAAUUAUCUACUUUAGACGAGUUAUUGGUUUCUCUUUGGCAUAUCACUGUGUUAUUCUUACAUAAUAUUAUUAGCCCUCAUCAAUCAGUAAGGAAAGUAGCUUGCAGUGAAGGUUCUCAGUAUUCUGUUUUGUGGAGAAUAAAUUAACAGUUACAAGAUAGAGGCAAUAACUUUACAGUAAAAAUCAAAGAAUAAAUAGGAUUUUUAGUUCUGAACUAUGAUACUUGUAGAGUUUUGCACUUGAAUUAUUUUUUUCGUAAAAAGAGUCUCUCGAAUUAAGAAAAUAAUUGUAAUUAUUUUCCUUUAGUUGUAUUUUGUUCAUUUUUUGAGAUAAUUUAUUGAUGUGGCUAUGAGUCACGCACUAGAAUGGUCUUAUUAACUCAAAAUUUAUAGAGUCUCAAAUUUUUUUGCUAUAGUAUUAUUUAUGAAAUUAUUUUUUGUUUGGGCUCUUAAAUUAUAGUAGUUUUCCUUGUAUUAGUCUUGCAUUAGGAGACUGUAACAAAAUGUAACUGCAGAGGAAAUUAUUUCUAUAGUUUAAGGGAAAUUUCUUACAAAGAAAAAAAAUAAUAAUUGAGGGGCAAAAUCUUGUCACAAUCUGGAGUAAAAAUCAUAUCUAUUCAAAAUUAAAAGUUGUUUUUAUAUGAAUAUAUAAUAUUUUAAUAUAAAUUAAAUUUUAAUAUAAUAUUAUAUAAAAAUAUAGUAUACAAUCCAAUUUAAUAUAAUAAUAUAUUGUAUAAUAUUAUCUAAUAUAGCAUACUCAAUAAAUACAAUUCAGAUGAAGGCAUGAUAAGGACCAUAUUGACUUGACUUAAACUAUUUAACUAAUGUAUUUGUUUUUUUCCCUUUCUUUUUUAGCUAAACAUUUGUCCAAGUCAUAUGUAUGGAUGAUGGAUCUGUUGAUAUUUACUCAUCCCUGUCAUACUUUUGUCCUGUUAGGUGACUGAAAAGCUGAGAGAUAGAUACUUUAUAUGAAUCACAUAUAUAUUGGUCACUGAAAGUAAAGUGAUGAGUGACCCAUUGAAGAUGAUCACUCCACAAGAAUAGAAAAUUAUUGCUAUACUUACAGAUCGGCCAAAGUUGAAUCUAGGAAAAUCCCACCUUCAAAGUCCUAACUCUUAUUCAAAACAAAGGAUUGAGCAUGGCGAGUGCGAUAAUUAUCUUUUUUGGUCUCCUAGGUAAUAUUUCAACAGGGCUACUCUAUGUUUCCCCUACAUCAGGACUGCUAUUCUUGUGGUUGUUUUGGAUGUGGUAUUUCCAGCAGCAGCAAUUUUGCUUACCCAAUUUACUCUCCACGGCGAUACUCGAAUUGAUGUUGCAGGGUUAUUGUGUAUGAUCUUCAGUAUGAUUGCAUAUGCUUCUCCUCUUUCUGCUAUG